ensembl:lncRNA
AUGAUCUGCCCGACCCCUCGUGCCCAGCGUAGGAAGGACAGAGCUCCGGCGGGCGGGGCUGUGCGGCCGGAAGGGCCGCCCGGCAUCCGUUCGCGACGUCGCAGUGUGGCGUUCGUUCCGUCUGGGGCAACGUGCUGCGUCUGCUUGCGGCUGCGCCCCUCCGGCGUCAUACGGUGCGGCCCAAACUGUUCAAGCCUGAUGUUACAAAGCAAGCCUACAUUUCUUUCAUCAAAUCCCUCUGAGCAUAAAAAGCAGCCCAAGCGGCUCAGAUUCAAGCUGCGUCCCCCCUGUGUCUUCCUUCCAACCUGCAGGGAGACAUGCAAUCAGGAGUGUGAGGCUCCCUGCCCUCCUAUAUUGACCCCCAUGAGAAACCCAACCACAUUGUUUAUGGAUCAGGUGAAAAUCCAGGUUAACCAGAACAGCAUCCACAAGCAGGGGGAGAAUCAAAUCAGAAUGGGUAUUUACAGCACUUCCUCAUUGUGUGCUGCCAGCUGCUCAUGUCUGAUUCAUCACCUCAGUGGAGCUCAUCACCCCACACACCUGGAGAGGCUCCUUGAUCCCAGUGACAUCUCCAUGACUGCAAUGUUCUUUGGCAAGGAGUGCAGCCCACCGGCAUGGACAGCCACCUCCUCUUGCUGGCUUCCCUUCCAUCUGCCAGCCUUGCUCUUGGAAUCGAAGGCAGUGCGCACCCAGCUUCAGCCCACUUUCUCUUCCACUUGCCACUCCCUAAGCAUCAAACAGCUUCUGUAAUGCAAAGAGAGCAUCUGGUCACAAGAGCAAUCACAGUGAAAUGAGAAGCAUGGUGUGGGAGGCACGGGCUGAAACCACAUCUGUAUUGCAGCAAACUAUUGGAUCCCUAAUUGACUCAAAUACUUCUUUAAUACCUGGGAAAUGAACUAUUUCUGUGAGCUGUUUGCACGUUGAAGUCCAUUCUUCAGUAUCCAUGUGCUAAUAAAUGCUUCACCUCACCCUUGUCCUUCAAAUUCUACCAUUUUGAUACUUUUCUUUAGACACCCUCAGGAUCAGAGCAAAGAAUCAGCCAUCAGACUGGGAUCUCCCAUACAGUACUUAAAGUGUCAACCAUAAGGAAACUCGACUAUGUUUUCCUUAACAUGGGUGAGAUAUGGGACUGAGAUUUGAACGUGUUCUUCUGAAAGGCAGGAGGAAGUAAGUCUCCGUCAGUUUUCUCUCUAUAGCAUUACACAGGCCCUGCUGGACUGGAACGUAAGAGCUUGUUGUCUCAUUAGUGCCCAAUCUUGUCUGAUACAGAAGUACUAAACGCUCAAAGCCUGCUGUACUGGCUAUAGAAUAUCAAUGUGAUAAGAUUCAGAUUGAUAAAGUGGACAUGGACAAACCUUAAUUAUGUUGCUGGCCCUUGAAUAGGACCAACGGGCUGAGCUGCUCCAGCACUUUCCCCAUUCUUGUAGCUUAAGCUUCUUAAACAUUUCCAGCACAGCAGACAAGCGGAAAGGGUCAUUCAUGUUCUCUGACUGCUUGUGUGUGCUCAUUGCCUGAGACAAGAGCUUUUGGUUUCUAGAACAAGGAAGAUAUUCAAAAAGUUAGCUAAGACAAGACGAAACAGUGGAUUUAUGUGACUAUUUUGCAGCAUAAAUACCAUGUUUUCUACAGUGUAUUUCCUAACUGUACCAUACUAGAGAACAAGCAGCUUUCUUGUGGGAAAUACUGCUUUACCAGCUCAGUUUUGCAUGGCCACAGUAGAAUAUGAUCAAAGAGCUGUAUUUAUGUCAUUGUCAGCUGAUUCCUUUUAUUAACAUGUUCACCCUGGGAACAUCUCCUUUCCAGGACAAAGCAAACUGUCUUCCAGCAAUCAGCAUCCGAAGUCUGGGGAGAGGGUGCCUAGGCUGUCUUCUCAAACGAAACAAAGCAAAAAAAAAGAGUCUCUAUGGACUGGGGGAAACAAGAAGUGUGUGGCUCUUCAGUGUAAGAACACACACUGCAUCAGGAAUCUGAACAGAUACCUUACCGUGCCUCUAGAACUCUGACCCUCUCUUUGAGCUUCUCACAUUCUUCUUUCUCUGGAACCUCUUUUUGGAUGACCCUUCCAUAAAAUGCACUGCAACAAAUUUAUUUUGUGAGAUCUGUUACUUUCUAUUUGGAUACUGGGAUAACGGUAGACUUGUCCCCACGGAAUCCCCCAAAUUUCAGUAAAAAUGCAGUCAGCUGGGAAGGCGUAGAGCACCCAGGAAAGACUUCAGUUAACCAGCUAAAUAACCUCCCCAGAAGCUCCCACCUAGGACUUAGAGCAAGGGGAGAGCUAUGUAGAGUAGAAGAAAGGGAGGUGGGGUUACAAGGAUCACAGGUGAGACAAGAAGACAACAAUGGGCUUGAGGAAAACACAGGUAUGCUCCAAUGGUUGGAAUCUCAUCUCUUCUCCAGUUUUCUUCUUUAACAUCAAAACAUUAUCAUCAAACAUCCCAAGCCUGUCAGAGCUUUUCUGUUUUCUUGGAUUCAUUUCUCUACAGAUGUCUGCGUAAUUUCAAUCAACUUUUCCUCCAGUCAAGGAGGAGUCUAAGGAGUCAAAGAAUGCUCUUUUGAAAGAAGAACCCCAGGUCAGGUAGUGGCAGCAAGAAAACUUGCCUAGGUAUUCGGUCUAUGGCAUACUCACAUCAUAAAAGUGAUUUUUUUUUAAUAAUUUAAUGGAGUUUUUUAGAAGUUACAUUUAUUUUUGUGUUGUAAAUCUAAUACAGUUCUAAUAUAAAGGAGACCGCUUAUCCCAUGUUUCUUUCCACUCCUUUCAGAGUAAGCUAUACCAUCUCGUAUUACUAUUUUGAUCUUGUUGAUUAUCCCAUCAAGCCUAUGUGCUGCCAAUUAAAUUACCUUCGUUACUGCACACAGAAAUAUCGUUUUUGGAGUCUGUCUAAAUUCGGAGGUGUUAAACGCAAUAUGUUUACUGGAGAAAAAUGACUGGCUCUAGGUGAAAGGACAAUACAGGAAUGAGCAGCUUCAGAAACACCCAGUGUUAACUCCUGAGAGCUCCCAUGUUCCUGGUUGUGGCGAGGGUUGGAGCUACUUGUCUCCUGCCCCAUAGAAAGGUCAGAUGCAGUAAUCUACCUAAAGAAGGGAGAAGCAAUCAACGUUAAUCAGUGAGACCUGAGAACAAAUGAAGAAUGGGGAUCUGAAUGUGGGAGGUGUAAUCUGAAUCUACAUGGAUUUGCUGACAGCUUUCUUUAAUUAGGCAAACUAACCCAGAGACAAGAACAACAAAGCUUGGCCAUUAUUUGAGUCUACAUCUGUGGUCUGGGAACAUUUGCCUGACAUCAACUCAAGUCUCAAACUUUGAGAUACUCCUGAAGAAAUCUCCCAGGUUUCAGAAUAUGUGAACGAUUCUCCUACUUACUGUCCUUACUAUCAGGCUGUACAGAACUGCACAUCUGAAAGCCUCUGGUGACCCUAAAGGUACUCCAACCAUGUUCAGAAACCUUAGAAUACCACAAGUUGUCCUCACUGAAAUCCCAACAGGAAAGCCUCUUCUCCACAAAGCUGUGCAGUGUUUGGGAAUGAUUUGGAAAUCCAGCUACACCAACUGAAGUUAUUCCCUCCUGUCCUUUGUUAUUGAGGAUUAUUUAUGUUUGCAUUUUGUACUCCAAAUGUAAUUCAUUUGGUUAUUAUUUCUUUUUUUUUUUCUUCCUGAUCAACAGCAUCCCUCUUUCUUCCCACCAUUCAAGCACCAAUGUCUUCCAUCAAUGUGUUCUUAGCCCAUGAGGGCAGUUCUCACCAAAAAUCCCCAUGUCUGACUCUGCACAUCUACUCAAAGUGUCCUCAGCAUUGCCUUUACCACCUCCCCAUCCUUUGGGGUGCAUGCCUUUACCUUCGGGGAUCUUCUUAAUGCAGCCAUUACCUAUUCAGCAAAGUAGUUACAUGGAAACUAGAGCUUACACCACAACAUGAUUUCCUUUUCCAUGUCAUGGCAAUUUACUCUGCACUCCAAGACAAACCUGCCCCAGAUCUUAUGCCUGGCCAUGCAAAUGGAGUCAAAUAGAAGAAAGAAAGUUUGAUGCGCAUUGUAGAACAAAGCUCUGAUAACCAAGGUUUGAAUAUGUUUUAGUAAAAAUCACAACAACAUUUAUGAUUUUCCCUUCAUAUUAAUUCUUAAUACAUAUAAUCACAGUACCUGUAGCACUGCUCCAGAAAUUGAAGUCGAGCCUCACAACCAUCACGCCAAGAUCUAUUCACACUGUCCAUCAGUCCAUCGAGGAAGAGUGAAAUGAUAAAACACAUUAUAGUCAGCACAGCUUUGCAACAUGGAUCAAGCCCUGUUACAUGACUGAAAACACACCUGGAGUAGCAACGUCAUCUGCAACUCUGCCCUCUCUGCACCACUUAUCUGAAACUUGUGACUAAGAAUGUCUUGCUUGCUUGUUUGUUGCUUGCUCAUUUUUCUUGCUUGCUUGUUUGUUUUAUUUGCUUGCAGGGUUAAUCAUGUGUCUGACCUGGGCCACACAUGCCACAGCAGGGCUGUCCUAGGGCUGCACCAGGCCUGGCAUGAGCUGGGUUGUAUUUUUAUUGGCAGUGCUGCCAGCCUCAGCAAGUUAGGUAGUCUUAGGGUAGGUGGCAGUCAACACGCAUCUGCUUUUGUCUAUGGAAAGAGCCCUUGAGUUUCCUUUGCAGCCACAGAGGUGCCUACUGUCCCAACAACCCUUGCCAUAAAGUCUGGGAGCACAAAGGACAGUGGUGAAACUGCAGGAGUCCAUCACUUCAGACCGCAAGAAUGAGUAUUUAAAAGAUAAUUUCUGGUCACCAGACUCACCUACAUUCUUUUUCCAGCUGCUUCAGCCUUUCUAACACAUCAAGGUUUAAUGUCUCCUUCUCUGAAGUAUUGCUUCCGCAGAUUGAUUGUUGCUGUGGGGCAUUAAAUGUUUCUCUUCUGAAAAAAAAAANACAGGGAUUCCCUUUCUCUUCAGUGGCUGCACCUCCGGAACAGGCUUCACCUCACAGUUCUUGCUUAUUUUAGCUGGGCAGCUCUUCACCUGCCUACGUAUGGCUGUAAAAGAUCCCAGGUUGAUGGAUUUGGUGAUCUAGUUUAUGAUCCUUAUGCUGUAGGGCC